rnacentral:rRNA from 1 species
AAUAGAUACCCAGGUAGUCCACGCCGUAAACGAUGAGUGCUAAGUGUUAGGGGGUUUCCGCCCCUUAGUGCUGCAGCUAACGCAUUAAGCACUCCGCCUGGGGAGUACGGUCGCAAGACUGAAACUCAAAGGAAUUGACGGGGGCCCGCACAAGCGGUGGAGCAUGUGGUUUAAUUCGAAGCAACGCGAAGAACCUUACCAGGUCUUGACAUCCCAUUGACCACUAUGGAGACAUAGUUUUCCCUUCGGAGACAACGGUGACAGGUGGUGCAUGGUUGUCGUCAGCUCGUGUCGUGAGAUGUUGGGUUAAGUCCCGCAACGAGCGCAACCCUUGUUCUUAGUUGCCAUCAUUUAGUUGGGCACUCUAAGGAGACUGCCGGUGACAAACCGGAGGAAGGUGGGGAUGACGUCAAAUCAUCAUGCCCCUUAUGACCUGGGCUACACACGUGCUACAAUGGACGGUACAAACGGUUGCCAACCCGCGAGGGGGAGCUAAUCCGAUAAAACCAUUCUCAGUUCGGAUUGUAGGCUGCAACUCGCCUAC